rnacentral:lncRNA from 1 species
UAUCUUUUGAAGUGUUAAAAGGAAACUAGUACUUUAUAUUCUUUAUCAUAUCACUUUUUGUAAGUGUUGAAUAUAUUCCUGUUUAUUUUUCUAUGUUCUGUUUUGUAGCCUUAAGAAGUGUUUCAAACAUAUCUGAAUGUAUAAAAUAAGAGUAAAUGCCCUACAUGGUGUGAUGCUGCAUUAUAUAUAAAACUGUGUGCAU